UGGCUCAGUUGGCAGAGCAUGGUGUUUGCAACGCCAGGGUUGUGGGUUCGAUUCCCAC
rfam:Salmo salar isolate Sally breed double haploid chromosome ssa10, whole genome shotgun sequence.